GGAGGGAUCAUUAACGCUCUCUCAUCAUCAUCAUCAUGAUAUCAAAAAAGGCUUAGUCUUUAUAUCUAUAUAUCUCUAUAUCUAUAAAGACUUAGCUGAACGCUCUUUGCGCACACACGCGCACAGUCAGUUAAUUUUGUGUAUGUGUGUGUGUGCGCGCGCGCGAUUUGGCGCAAGCUUUUUCGCGCGCGCGCGCGCGCAUAUAUAUAUAUAUAUAAAAAUUUGAUUGCACUUUGUGUGCGUGUGUGCGCAUACGCGCGCGCACCUGAAUUUUGUUGUGUGUGCCUAAAAAACACACACACAAAGAGUUCAGUGUUGUGUCGUUGAAGUGCUCCAACUCAUAUAUCUAUAAACAAUCAACUUACACUUGUCAAAACAAAACAUAACAAAACCAAACGUAUAGUUAAUAUAUAUAUAACAACUCCUAACAACGGAUAUCUUGGUUCUCGCGAGGAUGAAGAACGCAGCGAAAUGCGAUACGUAGUGUGAAUCGCAGGGAUCAGUGAAUCAUCGAAUCUUUGAACGCAAGUUGCGCUCUUGUGGUUUCAAACCCCCCAGGAGCACGUUCGCUUGAGUGCCGCUUCCUUAUUCCAUUUAUCUUCAAAGUCUUGUUACGCGCGCAUCAUAUGCACGCAUGAUGAGGAAACGGGUUUUACCAUACGCCGCGCGCGUAGGCAUGGCCUUAGAUAGUGUGACCCCAUUCAAAAACUGUUGUGUAUGUGUAUAUAUGCAAUCUCAGAGAGUUUACUUGGGACAUUGUGUGUGUGUUUUUAAAUAAACGUAUUACAAUGUGUUCUUUGAGUAAUAACAAACACUCUCUGAUAUACUAUAUACCACACACACACACAACUUUAUAAUAUAUACAAAUUUUUCCCGGCCUCAAGUCGAGCGACAGUACCCGCCGAAUUUAAGCAUAUUAAUAAGCGGAGGAAAAGAAACCAACAGGGAUUCCCUUAGUAGCGGCGAGCGAAGCGGGAGGAGCCCAAGCUCUGAAUCUGGGCGCGCGCCCAAGUCCGUGCCCCGAAUUGUGGUCUCAUGGCAAGGCAUCGCUGAGUGUGGUUGCUGGUCGGGCAAAAGUCCCUUGGAAAAGGGCGCCAGGGAGGGUGACAGCCCCCGUCCAUUGGUCCGGCACGAAGCACGCCAUCUCGAUCGCGCUGUUGCACUUGCCCCAGAGUCGGGGUUGUUUGGGAAUGCAGCCCUAAGCGGGUGGUAAAUCCCACCCAAGGCUAAAUAUUGUCAGCGAGAGACCGAUAGCGAACAAGUACCGUGAGGGAAAGAUGAAAAGGACUUUGAAAAGAGAGUCAAAAGUGCUUGAAAUUGUUAGGAGGGAAGCGAUCGGCGCCGGCAGUUCGUCUUUGUCAAAGCUGUUCAGUAAUUUAUUUUCAUGAGAAGGCUGCAAAUGUAGAGAGUGCUUUACUGUGCCUUUAUUUUGUGUCAUUCUUGUGAUAAAUUAUGCAUUCAGUUUUGAUAGCGAGCCAGCAUCAGCUCCAUGUGUGUGACUGAUGGAUAUUAAGGAAUGGGCUUGAAUGGCCGGCUUCAUCGCCGUGUCCACUCGACGCGACCUUGAUAAACCUGUCACACGCGAGGGCUGAGGAACCAAUUAACCCAUGCCCGCAAGGGCGAGGCAGUUGUGUCAUCGUAGUAAGCCUAUAUGUGGGGAUCGGGAACCGAUGCUUGUGUAUAGAUGUUUUAUUGCUUUCGUGGCGCAAGUCCAUCUCUGGUGGGUUAGUGAUGCUGGCGGAACGGUGCUGAUCGACCCGUCUUGAAACACGGACCAAGGAGUCUAACACGUGCGCGAGUGUCCGGGUGGCAAACCUGGGCGCGGAGUGAAAGCAGAGGAUAACAUUUGUGGUUAUCUAAGGUGGGAAGGUAUAUAUUUGAGCAAUCGGAUGUAUGCCUGCACCACCGGCCGACCUGGAUUUUCUUGAAGGGUUUGAGCUAGAGCGUAUUUGUUGGGACCCGAAAGAUUGUGAACUAUGGGUGACCAGGACGAAGCCAGAGGAAACUCUGGUGGAGGUCCGGGAAAAGUGAUACUGACGUGCAAAUCGUUCAUCUGAGUUGCCUAUAGGGGCGAAAGACUAAUCGAACAAUCUAGUAGCUGGUUCCCUC
rnacentral:misc_RNA from 1 species